ACAGCGCUCAUAAAUAAGCGACACAAUUUUAUUUAUUUUUUUACAUUAUAUUUAUGAUAUUAAAACUACGUAAAUUUAAUAUUGUGCGUAAAUACUCAAAUAAAUAGUAUACGAAAUAAGAAUUUUUUGAGAAAAAAAUAAUAAACAAAGACCAUUGCUGAAAAAUGUUUAUCUACAAUAGUAUGUAUCAACUAUAACUAGGUAUGGCUUCAUAACGCCUGAAAUGCAUCUAAGGAGCAAUCACUUCAGAACAUUAUUAAACCAUUGGAAAUGUACACGUACGCAACCAAAGUAUAUAAUAAUGUAUAAGUUACGUGUUCCACGUGUGGCGCGGGCAUAUAUUUACUCCAAAGUUGGCAGGUGAAUUUUGAUGUUUAGUCUUGUCUAGUGCAGAAGCAGGGUGGCGCAUGUCCCGACGGAUGAGGCUCCAUGAUGAUAAAUAGUCAGCCACGAGAGGGCAGCAAAGGACUAUCAACCCUAUUUUCCGCCAUCCGCGAAUACUCGUAAUUGAGAUGAAGUCAUCUCAGGAAUCAUCAGUAAUAUAAUUGUCAAUAAUAAAAUAAACGUUCCCACCAG